rnacentral:rRNA from 1 species
GAUGAACGCUAGCGGCGCGCCUAAUGCAUGCAAGUCGAGCGAUGAGUACCCCUUCGGGGGUGCAUCAGCGGCAAACGGGUGAGUAACACAUGGAUAACCUACCCCAAAGACGGGGAUAACUGCUGGAAACGGUGGCUAAUACCCGAUGAAUACAGCGAUCUGGGAUGGUCGUUGUAGAAAGCUACGGUGCUUUGGGAGGGGUCUGUGGCCCAUCAGCUAGUUGGUAGGGUAAUGGCCUACCAAGGCGAUGACGGGUAGGGGGUGUGAGAGCAUGAUCCCCCACAAUGGGAUUGAGAGACGGCCCAUACUCCUACGGGAGGCUG